rnacentral:pre_miRNA from 1 species
GAUUUCAAAUGAAAAAGUCAUCAACAUCAAAGUUGUAUAACUUAUCAAUAUCUAUAACUUUUAUUUUGGUCAUUUCUUCAUCCGAUAAAACGACAGUAAUAUUGUUCACCAAAUUUAUAUAUCUCUCCUAUAGUUUAUAAUAUAUAAGAGAGAUGUACAUUUUGUGAACAAUAUUAUAGAUCACUUUGUCGGAUGAAGAAAUGACCAAAAUAAAAGUUAUAGAUAUUGAUGAGUUAUACAACUUUGUUGUUAAUAACUUUUUCAGUUGAAAUC